UUUCCGUAGGUGAACCUGCGGAAGGAUCAUUACUGAGUGAGGGCCCUCUGGGUCCAACCUCCCACCCGUGUUUAUUAUACCUUGUUGCUUCGGUGAGCCCGCCUCACGGCCGCCGGGGGGCAUCUGCCCCCGGGCCCGCGCCCACCGAAGACACCUAGAACUCCGUAUGAAGAUUGCAGUCUGAGCAAAAACUAAAUAAGUUAAAACUUUCAACAACGGAUCUCUUGGUUCCG
rnacentral:misc_RNA from 1 species